rnacentral:rRNA from 1 species
UAAGUAGGGGGCAAGCGUUGUCCGGAUUUAUUGGGCGUAAAGAGCGUGUAGGCGGCCAGACAGGUCCGUUGUGAAAACUCGAGGCUCAACCUCGAGAUGUCGGUGGAAACCGUCUGGCUAGAGUCCGGAAGAGGAGAGUGGAAUUCCCGGUGUAGCGGUGAAAUGCGCAGAUAUCGGGAAGACCGCCUAUGGCGAAGGCAGCUCUCUGGGACGGUACUGACGCUGAGACGCGAAAGCGUGGGGAGCGAACAGG